CAGCCCCGCGCCUUGCCGGUUAUUAGACAGCUCGCGGGACUGUCUGCGGGCCGCCUCUUUCCUGCUAAUUAUCACCUUAUGAAAAGUGUUUCAUUAAGGAACUCUGCUUUUGAUUAAUUAUCGACAGAAUGCUGACCAGAAAGAAAUGAAAUUAAUCUCUGACCCCGUCUGGGUAACACUGGAAAUUCAUCACAUAUCCUUUUAAUAUUGAAACACAGCGCAGAAUUUUAAUAGAAAAUAUUGUUUUUCCAAACCUCCAGUCUUUAUUAAUGCCCCUGGGCAGGGAAUGAUAUUGCUGGCAAUAUAGCAGUCUUUGUUCAUUUUAAAUUUAUUAAACAUAAUGCACUUCAUUUUCAAACAUUUUACUGUUUCUUUUUAAUUUCACUCAGUGUAAGUACAGAAUAAAACCUUUUUAAACAUUUAAGAUAUUGAAAACCCAUAUAUGAGUGUAUAACGGGAGCGCUCCGGCCAUCAAAUAAAUUUAAGUAGAAGCAAUUGUAAUUUUAAGCUCCCAAGUAUUAUCCCCUUCAGACAUUAAGGCAGUAUCCGUAACCAGCAAAUGGAAGUGUGAGAAGGAGAGGCUUCAAGCCCGCCCCCCCCACCCCCCAGGAAGACCUCACCAGAGGGACUGGCCUAGCCCAGCAGCCCCAGCAGACCCUCCAGGCCUAACGGGUUGGCGGGGUGGGCACUUUCCCCUGCAUUUCGUUGGUCCAAACGAAAUGAUUCUUGGAGGCCUGAGAGCUUGCCUGAGAGGGGGCCCCCAUCUACCCACUGUCCACUCCACGGAGGGCCCACCCUUCCUCCUGAAGGGACAGGGAGCUUCCCUGAAACUGGGAGGUGAUUCCUCCCUCUGAGAGUCACGCUGGGCCGCCCCCAACCCCAGUCAAGGCCUGCCGUGAUCCCGAGCCCUGGGGUGGGGGCUCCCCUGAGAUCACAUCCCUCCCCUCCUUCCGGGCCACAGCUGCCAGAGGAGCUGUGCAGGGAGCACCCUUCCUUACCCCCACCCCCCAGCAUAACUCCUGUACCUUCAUCCCCUUUCCCGAGGAAUCCAAGCUCCGAGUUUAAUGAGUCGUGAAGUGUGAGAACUUCCUGAGACCCCAGCGCCCCUGAUGCCAAUUCCAGAUGUGCGAGGUGGGAGGGGCUGAGCCUCCUGGCCAGUGAGCCACCCUGGUGGGACUGGAGCACCCUGGAUCCAGGUCCCAGCCAUCCGGGCCCUGAAUUGGAAACAGGCAACUUCUCCACUGAGAAAUUACUCUUUUUAUUUCUUGUAGCGUUCCUGGUGCCCUAUUUCACGGCACCGACAAACGGAAUAUUACUUCUAAAACACUAUGAAAUACCAGGUCCUGUCCUCAGUGCUAUUUCGGGGGAAUUAAAUGUUCACUGACUGGGCUCUGAGCCUGGCCUAGGCUGUCUGUGAUCUAUGACUUAUCUGCCGGACGUCUCUGCUGAUCCCCCACCUGUCCCCCACCACUCCUGUUUGGUAUCCUGAUGUCAUGGAGAAGUUCCUCUGACCUGCUAGAAAAAAGUUCCUCCCCUGUGUUAGUAAGUGUUCCGAAGUCUUGGCCAGACCUCACAGCAGACAACUUUGUUCCCCGGUGUUUGUGGUCAAGGCUGGGAGAGGCGCCGGAAAAGAGGGCUUUUCUGGAAAAAUUUCAGCCCUCAGUUUGAGUGGAGAUGGCUGCCUCCUCUUGCUUCUAACCAGUGCAGCCGACCAGAACAGGCAGCUGGGGGCCAGGAGAGGGCCUUCUAGCUGCUUGGGCCUGGCCCCACCCUAGGCGGCCCCGCCAGCACACCCACCGCAUAGCGGGAGGCUGGAGCUGCCUUCCCAGGGGCGAGGAACUACCAGCAGUGAGGGCUGGGGGCCCAAAGUGAGUGCGGAGGAGGGAAGUCAGUCAGGGUGUGUGUGGAGAGAGGUGAGGCCUCCCCCCACUGCAUAAGUAAGAAAGAAGCUACGGCGUGAGACAGGCAAAUAACACCAGCGCCCACACUCCCAUCGUGUCCUCUCUUCUAAGACCUUUGCCCAAGGCCACUCUCCCAGUCCCUCAGAGAAGGAGGCAGGAGUGAGUACGGAAGGGCCAGCCUGGCUGUUCUGUCACUGGACCUCACUGGGGUAGGGCUGAAGAGGGUCCAGAAAAGAAAGCUAGCUUAGUGGCCUGUGAAUUUCUUCCCCCCCCCCCCCAUCUACUUAAACUGAAAACAAACAAGUGAAACAAAACACAGAGGCACCAGGGCCACGCCCCAUGUGCCCCACAAACUGGGGGACCUGCCUGGCCUCUGCAGGCACCAUGGAGGAGGGUUCCCCGGGGUGGCCCACCCCUGGCAUGUUUGUGGACUCGGGAUCCACAACUGCCCUGCUUCUGGACCAGGAAAGCCCCUCCCCAGGGUCCCCACCCAGAGUCCUGGGCCCCGCUGUGCAAAACCCAGUCUCCUGAGUUUCCUAUAAACAACUGCUCACUGGGGUUAAGACUCUCCCUCUCUCCCUCUCUCUCUCUCUCUC